rnacentral:rRNA from 1 species
UACGGGGGGGGCAAGCGUUGUUCGGAAUUACUGGGCGUAAAGGGCUCGUAGGUGGCCAACUAAGUCAGACGUGAAAUCCCUCGGCUUAACCGAGGAACUGCGUCUGAUACUGGAUGGCUUGAGUUUGGGAGAGGAAUGCGGAAUUCCAGGUGUAGCGGUGAAAUGCGUAGAUAUCGGGAGGAACACCUGUGGCGAAAGCGGCGCACUGGACCAUAACUGACGCUGAGGCGCGAAAGCUAGGGGAGCAAACAGG